AGCAGUAGCCGCGGGAAUACGUAGGUGGCAAGCGUUGUCCGGAAUUAUUGGGCGUAAAGGGCUCGCAGGCGGUUUCUUAAGUCUGAUGUGAAAGCCCCCGGCUCAACCGGGGAGGGUCAUUGGAAACUGGGAAACUUGAGUGCAGAAGAGGAGAGUGGAAUUCCACGUGUAGCGGUGAAAUGCGUAGAGAUGUGGAGGAACACCAGUGGCGAAGGCGACUCUCUGGUCUGUAACUGACGCUGAGGAGCGAAAGCGUGGGGAGCGAACAGGAUUAGAUACCCGCGUAGUCCCUGUCUCUUAUAC
rnacentral:rRNA from 1 species